rnacentral:rRNA from 1 species
GACGAACGCUGGCGGCGUGCUUAACACAUGCAAGUCGAACGGAAAGGCCCAGCUUUUGUUGGGUGCUCGAGUGGCGAACGGGUGAGUAACACGUGAGUAACCUGCCCCCGACUUUGGGAUAACUUCAGGAAACGGGUGCUAAUACCGGAUAUUAGCUGGUGCUGCCUUGUGGGUUGGUGGAAGUUGCUGCGGUUGGGGGUGGUCGCGCGGCUGAUCAGCUGGUUGGUGGGGUAGUGGCUGACCAAGGCGGUGACGGGUAGCCGGCCUGAGAGGGUGACCGGCGACAUUGGGACUGGGAUACGGCCCGGACUCCUACGGGAGGCAGCAGUGGGGAAUAUUGCAGAAUGGGCGGAAGCCUGAUGCAGAAACGUGGAGUGCGGGAUGACGGGAUUCGGGUUGUAAACUGCUUUCGCCGGUGACGAAGCGUGAGUGACGGUAAUGGGUAAAGAAGCACCGGCUAACUACGUG